GGCAAAGUGGCGGAGUGGUUAACGCGUGUGACUCGAAUAUCUCCGAUAUCACAUUCCUUCGGGAGCGCAUGUUCGAAUCAUGCCUUUGUCG
rnacentral:tRNA from 1 species